CGACAGCCCCUUUUCUUUUAUUUUUUUUUUCUCUUCUUCUUCCUCCUCCCAGUCCGGCCGCCCAUUUCUUGCGCCCAGUCCGCAUUAGAUCCGCCCAAAAACUCCACCAGAACUCGGAUUUUCUCUCCUUUUCUUCACAAUCUGUGGUAUUUUCUUCUCUAUUUUUUUUUCUUCUUCUUCUUCUCGCAACCUAUUAACCCUAACCUUGCUUCUAUUUAUUUUUUUAUUAUUUUUACAAAUUGCUUGUACUUUUUCAACCAAAUCUCAUCCUCUACC
rnacentral:lncRNA from 1 species